GACGAACGCUGGCGGCGUGCUUAACACAUGCAAGUCGAGCGGUAAGGCCCUUUCGGGGGUACACGAGCGGCGAACGGGUGAGUAACACGUGGGUGACCUGCCCUCAGCUCUGGGAUAAGCCUGGGAAACCGGGUCUAAUACCGGAUAUGACUCCAUGACGCAUGUUGUGGGGUGGAAAGCCUUGUGCGGCUGAGGAUGGGCCCGCGGCCUAUCAGCUUGUUGGUGGGGGAUGGCCUACCAAGGCGACGACGGGUAGCCGGCCUGAGAGGGCGACCGGCCACACUGGGACUGAGACACGGCCCAGACUCCUACGGGAGGCAGCAGUGGGGAAUCUUGCGCAA
rnacentral:rRNA from 1 species